rnacentral:rRNA from 2 species
UGGGGAAUAUUGGGCAAUGGGCGAAAGCCUGACCCAGCGACGCCGCGUGAAGGAAGAAGAUCUUCGGAUUGUAAACUUUUGUCAACAGGGAAGAAACAAAUGACGGUACCUGUGGAGGAAGCCACGGCUAACUACGUGCCAGCAGCCGCGGUAAUACGUAGGUGGCGAGCGUUAUCCGGAUUUACUGGGUGUAAAGCGUGUGUAGGCGGGGAGGCAAGUCAGAUGUGAAAGCUAUGGGCUCAACCCAUGAAGUGCAUUUGAAACUGUUUCUCUUGAGUGUCGGAGGGGUAAAUGGAAUUCCCAGUGUAGCGGUGAAAUGCGUAGAUAUUGGGAGGAACACCAGUGGCGAAGGCGAUUUACUGGACGACAACUGACGCUGAGACACGAAAGCGUGGGGAGCAAACAGG